GAUCUGUUUUAUCAUCACCAUCAGCAUCUGCAUUCACAGGAAACUGAGACAGAAGAUCAGCUCUGGUUCAGAGGAUGUGAAGAUGAUCUCUGACUGUGACAAACACACAGUAACAGCCU